UAGGUAGCGCCUCGUGAAUUCAUCUCCGGGGGUAGAGCACUGUUUCGGCUAGGGGGCCAUCCCGGCUUACCAACCCGAUGCAAACUGCGAAUACCGGAGAAUGUUAUCACGGGAGACACACGGCGGGUGCUAACGUCCGUCGUGAAGAGGGAAACAACCCAGACCGCCAGCUAAGGUCCCAAAGUCAUGGUUAAGUGGGAAACGAUGUGGGAAGGCCCAGACAGCCAGGAUGUUGGCUUAGAAGCAGCCAUCAUUUAAAGAAAGCGUAAUAGCUCACUGGUCGAGUCGGCCUGCGC
rnacentral:rRNA from 1 species